ACACACCGCAUGCAUAGCCCACACCUAACACAACUCCUAAUGCUAAUACUUGGUAUGCACACAAACAGGCAUACAGAGGUCACAUCAAUAUCAUUUCUGCUACUGAACACGUGGGACCUGCCUCAGUGACACCUGUGGUGGGAAGCAGACCUGAUGCUGGCUGCAAUCUGCAAUCAGAGGUCGUUUGUUUUCCUGUAUUGGUGAUGGCUCAUUAUUAUUCACCAUGAAGGUGAAGUUCAAAUCUGAGAAGUUGGGAGGGAUCACAGACAAAUUUCCUCAGGUGUAUCUACACUUUUCCUACUGAGUUAAACUGACUCUGUGUGUUCACAGGUGCUGACCGAUCUUUACUAAAGUAGUUUUCAGGUCACCUUUUAGAGGGUUGCAAUGUUUUACUCUCCUCUUAUCCUGAAGAAGGAGGAUAAAGUAUUUUCCCAGUUGGAGUACUGGUAAAAAGAAGCAGAGUAUUGUUGCUAGUGGUAUGUUUGAAAUUUACAUGAUCUUACAAAGAUGUGAAAGUCCACUUUUUUUCUCCCUUUCCGAAGGGGGAAUUGCAUAAUGCCUAUUGCAUAUUGCCUGUUGCAUGAACUCUUACAGAUAAUUCUUACAAGUAUCUAUUUCUCUUAAAUUAGUAUUUGGUUUUGAGCAUCAGUGCAGGAUUUCUUCCAGGAUUCUGACCUAUCAUUGAUAGUUUUGUGUUUACUGCAAGAACUGUAUUUGAGAAUUUAUUCAAAAUAUUUAUUUAAGCCAUUAUUAUUUUUUUCAUUUUCUUUAUGCUUUCGUUUUUUGUACAUUCUGUUUCUUGAGAUUGCUACAGAAGUGGUUUUCAUGUGCUCCAUUUGGCAUACACUGCACAAUAUGGAGCAUAGAGGAGAUUCUAUCUACAAAUAUUUUUGUAAAGCUUUAUCAAUAAAAUAUUUGUCAUCGGGAUACUUUAGGGUUUGAAAAAUAGUAUGUCAAUAAAUAAUUGAAAAGCUUCUUUUACUUACAACUGAUGAUAAAGCCUUUAGCUAUAGAAUUUUAUCAUGUAGAUUUUGUCAUUGCACUUGCAAUUAUUUUCUGCAUUUAUUUUAAGAAAAAAGUAUGGUGGCGACAAAGAGGAAAAUAUCACAUGAAUUUCAGACUUCUUGGCUUCAGUAAAUAUGAAUCAUGAUAUGGAUAGUAUUUGACCAGAUGCAGCCUGGAAUGUGGCCACCUCAAGGACAGUGAAGACCAGCUGUGAAAUUUAGAAAAUAUUCCUGUGACAGUUAAGAACAUUUUAGAGGAACAUGGGCAUUUAGUGCAUACUGAACUACUAAGGUACAUAAGAGCAAUGCAUUCUCCUCUAACAAUUAAAAAACAUAGCACCAAAGAAAAUACUGCACAAGCUCUGUUGCGCAAAACUUGAUUUUCAAGUAUUCAUUCUCUAGUUAAAUGGAAGCUAUUUACUACUAAACAAAAACAGCAGUGAUUUCCCCUCACUAAGCCAAAUGCUGACCUUUAAAAUUCUGACAUUUUAUCAAUAUACUGUUUAGCCCAGAGUAAAUGACUGUUUUCUGAUGAACUGAGCAUUAUGAAAACCAAAGUAUACCAGAAACAAAGCUAACAGAUUUGUGGAAAUUUUUUGUCUUCCUCAUAACAGAUUCUGAAUUUUCUAUACCGUUUGGAAAAUUGGAGAGCUGAAUUUGAAGAAUUUCUAACCACUCCAAUCCAGUGUGUAGCUAACAGACUUGUGAUGUACAACAUCUGACAUGCAUGUUUAGGGCCUCAUUUCUAUAUGAAUUUAAAGGUUGCAAAGCUUUUGUUGCUCUUGUUGUUUCAUUUUAUUGUGCUGGAGGGAGAACUGUAUUAGCUGUGGAAAGAAUAGUCAUUCUUUCAAUCUGUAAUCUUUCUUUCUUGUUUGUUGAGCAAAAUAGCAAAAUAAUGUACCGCCCUUGCUUGGACUCUGGGAUGUGAAGAAUAUCUUGAAUCUACUGAAAUGGGCCUAGACCCGCAGACUUGAAAAAAAAACAUCUUGAAAUGAUAUUCAAUGAGAGCCAGUGGUCAGCAGGAAUCUACAAGAGUUCAACAGAAUUACGCUAUUACUGUCAAAUAAUCAGUAUUCUUGACAUAUGUGGGAUCUUAGUUCCAUUUGAAUCAAAAAUUUAGCAGAGUCAGCAAGUGCACAAAAACACCAAAAGAAGAUUCAAAACAAAAGUAAAUUUUCCAGUGAAAAUCACAAUGAGUAAAGAAAUAUUUAAUCCCUGGGCUAGUCAAAGGAUAGUAAAUGCCUGCAUAGCAUCAGGCUCAUUUUAUAUGGUAGUGGAUAAUACUUCCCAUGCAUUAUUUUGAGGUGAAAACUACUUCAGAGAAAUGUUUUCUUUUGCUCAGUCCUUUUGAAUCACUUUUUCUCUUGUAACCUUGCAGAAGGACUCAGAGGAAAGUUGCUGCGGUCUUCUUAUUGCAUGCAUGUAGAGAUGCUUGAUUAUUUUUACCUUUUGGUUAUGCUUUUGAUCCAUAGCCUACAUGAUCUCAUUAAGACCAUAUUACUUAGCUUAAACUUCAGAUACUUGACCAUUUCUUACAGUAGCCUCAGGCUGGGUGAAGUGUAAUAUUGUUCAUGUCGGCUUCCUGGCAUGGCAACAUGUCAUAAAGUAUCUGCUGGGAUAUGACAGAAGAGGUAGGUUGGGGGAUGGAAACUGGAAUAAAGAAGCUCAGACACUUAAUAGAGCUUGCAAGGAGAGGUCAGUGCCCAUCAGUCGUUGGAGUACAGAAUCCCAAUUACUUAGGAAUGCUCAGUAUGGGCUGCCUGAUGCAGACUGUAAUAAAUCUUAUGGCAGGCAUUAGGAACACCUGGUUUCAGAUGAGAACACCUUUCUUUAGGUCCACCUAAAUCAAUCCUCUUUCUUCCCCAUGCCUGCACUGAUCUCUAUCUAGUAGGGGGAGGAAGGGAAAGAAAAACAGGCAGGUGAUCUUAUUAUGGGUCUUGUCAGCCUCACUAAUGGGAAACAGGUAACAGGCAUAAGAGACAAAGAGGAGAGGGUUUACCCAGUGCAAUACCUCCUGUCAUCUUCCUUGUGAUUUGAGAGGAGCUUCUUUAACAACUGCCUUCAAAUUGGCACAUGUCACAACACUGGAUUUUCUCCAGCCCAUACUCAGAUGUCAGAUGAGCUCGAUGGUCAUGAGUCCAUCCAUUAAAAGCUUUUAACACUGCUGACCUCUUAGAUAUCUCGGGUCCAUUGUUCUAUAUGGGGAAGAAGGGAGAAGGUAAAUACAGUUCAGCUAAUGUCAGCUCUGCUGAUAUGAAUCAGAGUAGCGACGGUGAUUUCAGGGAGCUGAAUCUGGCCACGUUUGCUGUGGUCCUACCUUUCUUUUAAAGGACAAAAGGACAGCUCCCACAUUACAUUUAUUUAAAUAAAGCCCUGAGCACUAAAAUUGGCAAUUUACAGACUCACAUCUUUUAGCUUUGCUGUCUGCAAAAGUAUAGGCUCUGACUGAAGUUUUUUUCUUGGACCAGAAUAUCAGUAGGAUUUCUCCUCCGUUCUGCUCUUGUAACAGAUGCUUAAUCUCUCAGCAAUCUACUGUUCUGUGAAAUUCUGCUGAUAUUGAUCAGUACACAGAAAAAUAACCAAGGAGACAGAGAUAUCCGCAUGUGUUUGCAAAGAGAGAGAAAAUAUUUCCAUGAGACCAUUCCUUGGGAAGCAGCCUAAAAUUCAGUCAGUGGCAACUGGGGAUGUAGCUCAGGGUGUCGUCUAUUUUUUUCUUUUCAAAUUUUAUUAUACUGCUUUUCAUUUAUUUUUAUUUUUAUUUUCUUCCCAAGUCAUUUUUUUUUCUUUUCUCUACUAUGAGCUCUUCCCUCCAAAGGAACUCCUAGAAACACCCAGAAUGAGUGCCUCUCCUGUCACAAGUAAGCACAGAGUAUGUAUGCACAAAUAUUCCGAUUUUGUAGGCAUUGCCCACAUAUGCUUCACCUUGUGGUGGCUUGUAGAUAUGUAAUCAUCCUAACACUGUUGCCUGUCAGCAUCCAUUACAAACUGUCAUCCAGUUCCAAGCCUGGCUAAUGCAUCCAUAAAUUUCCAUGAUCAUAAAGGCCAGUUUAAGGCCAUAUGCAAGGAAGAAGACAAAACAGUCUUCAUACUUGCACUCUGUGGCACACCAAAUUUAAGCCAUGUGUUGAAGUACAAUCACUCCAGCCACAGACAUCCUCAUCCAGGACAGUGUGGAGCUUGCUGGCUUCCCUGUUGCACCUUAUGAGCAGAAGCUGCAUUCCCAACAGCUCCAGGUGGAAGGCUCUCUUCAUCUGCUGGAGUGAAACAGCGUAACUACAUACAGUUGGCUGCAUCUAAAAGGCACUGAAAAGCCUUCCAUACAAGAACAUUUCAACAGUGUUUCUCAUCAGACUACCUAACUGAUUAUCUUCUCCCCCUGGUAUCUGCAGCAGAAUCAGAACUCUGUCCACAUGAAGCUACAGGAGCCACUGAAAAUCUUCACAGUAAAUUAAGUACAAUUAGCAGAACAAAUAUCACCACUGUUAGCUUUAUAGUCUUGUAAUUAUUCUGGCAGAACUUAUUAUUUGGACUGUUUCUCAAAUCAGUGGUCUUUGUAAAUGAAUAACAUCAUAAUAAAGUCCCUUUC
ensembl:lncRNA